rnacentral:rRNA from 1 species
UACGUAGGGGCCGAGCGUUGUCCGGAGUUACUGGGCGUAAAGCGCGCGCAGGCGGCUCGUCAAGCCUGACGUGAAAGCCCCCGGCUCAACCGGGGAGGGUCGUCGGGGACUGGCGGGCUUGAGGUCGGCAGGGGUUGGUGGAAUUCCCGGUGUAGAGGUGAAAUUCGUAGAUAUCGGGAGGAACACCAGUGGCGAAGGCGGCGAUCUGGGAAGAUACUGACGCUGAGGUGCGAAAGCGUGGGGAGCAAACAGG